rnacentral:lncRNA from 1 species
CCGCACCAUGUGGCAUCCCUAAACGUGUCCUUGAUUCCCCUCCACCACCUCAUUUGUAAAAUCCAAAUGUGCUCCGUCCCGUCGUGGAGGCUCUGUUCCCUCCACUCCCCAGACUCCUGCGAGGGAGACCCAGGAGGAAGCUCAUGCCUGCUGUCCUUCCUGCCCGGAGACGCUCUGUCCCUGCUGAUCAGUGAGCCCAGAGACGGCUGGCACUACGGCCAGAACGAGCGCACGGGACGAAAAGGCUGGUUUCCCUUCUCCUACACACAGCCUUUCCCCAACUCUCCCGGACAAGAUCUCAGGUCUGACCCCAUCAGAAUGACACACAGUAAUAUCUUUCUGCUGUCUCAGAAGGGCAUGCAUUCCCAUCACUCCUCUCUUCUCCUCUGUGUCUCUCGUCACGGCUGCAGUGCUCCUGUCCUGUCGAAGGUGAACAGCAGCAGUAUGGGGCAGCUGGACAGGCUUCCCCCCGCGGGUCAGGGGCCGCAGGUCAGUCCUGACUCUGUCGCGCUCUUUGUGUUCGUGGUCUGUGGAUCAGGUGAGACGUGA